GUGACUUCACAGACCACUCUCUCUGACAGGUCUGCAGUGAAGAGAGCAAUUCCAACUUCUGCUAAUUGAGUUUGUAACAAGAAGAUGGAUCCAUUUUACUACCGCCCUCAGGACCUUAAUCAAACUCUGGGAAAGCUUGAAAGUCACCCCUUCCAAGCAGAGUUCUCAGAGGACCCCAGUUUCACUUCUGUUUUCCCUGGAGAAAAGACUGCUUGACAGAAUCAAGCCUUGCACGCCCUCUUAUUGAUCUCCUAUGGCCAUCAACAUUUCCAGCUAGGAAGGACAGCUCAAGGAAGAAACACACCUCAGUAUAUCUCCAGGCCUUCCAGACUUGGAACCGCAUGAGCAAUA